GAUGAUCGGUGCUUGCACCGAGAUUCAACAUGGAACGAGUGGCGGACGGGUGAGUAACACGUGGGUAACCUGCCCUUAAGUGGGGGAUAACAUUUGGAAACAGAUGCUAAUACCGCAUAGAUCCAAGAACCGCAUGGUUCUUGGCUGAAAGAUGGCGUAAGCUAUCGCUUUUGGAUGGACCCGCGGCGUAUUAGCUAGUUGGUGAGGUGAUGGCUCACCAAGGCGAUGAUACGUAGCCGAACUGAGAGGUUGAUCGGCCACAUUGGGACUGAGACACGGCCCAAACUCCUACGGGAGGCAGCAGUAGGGAAUCUUCCACAAUGGACGCAAGUCUGAUGGAGCAACGCCGCGUGAGUGAAGAAGGCUUUCGGGUCGUAAAACUCUGUUGUUGGAGAAGAAUGGUCGGCAGAGUAACUGUUGUCGGCGUGACGGUAUCCAACCAGAAAGCCACGGCUAACUACGUGCCAGCAGCCGCGGUAAUACGUAGGUGGCAAGCGUUAUCCGGAUUUAUUGGGCGUAAAGCGAGCGCAGGCGGUUUUUUAAGUCUGAUGUGAAAGCCCUCGGCUUAACCGAGGAAGCGCAUCGGAAACUGGGAAACUUGAGUGCAGAAGAGGACAGUGGAACUCCAUGUGUAGCGGUGAAAUGCGUAGAUAUAUGGAA
rnacentral:rRNA from 1 species